rnacentral:rRNA from 1 species
GUCGAACGCUGGCGGCGUGCUUAACACAUGCAAGUCGAGCGAAGUGGCGAACGGGUGAGUAAUACGUGAGUAACCUGCCCUCCUUUAUGGGAUAAGCCUUGGAAACGGGGUCCAAUACCGAAUCAAGGGGGUUGGGCUCGCGGCCUAUCGGGUUGUUGGUGGGUUGAUGGCGUACCAAGGCGGUGACGGGUAGCCGGCCUGGGAGGGUGACCCGCGAAAUUAGAAAUGGGAUACGGCCCAGAGUCAGACGGGAGGGGGGAGUGGGGGAUAAUGGACGAUAGCCGAAAGCCUCCAGGAGCCACGUCGGGUGAAGGAUUUAGGCUUUCGGAGUGUAAUCCGCUGUGACUAUCGAAAGGGUAGGGAGAGAAGAAGCACCGGCUAACUAUGUGCCAGCAGCCGCGGUAAUUC